UAGCACAGCAGCUGGCCAGCACUGGCAGAGGGGGACGUGUGCUCAGCUCUGUGGUGGCACCAAUGUAGGUCAGCAGAUAACACAGGCAGAAUUUAACCUCCUCAAUAAAGUGACAGUCAUUUAAAUAGCAUCUUGCAGUCCUUGCUCAGAAACAGGCUUAUUGAUCCCUGAGGUCUUUAAGCACUUCCAUAUCCUUCACCAUCCCCAUGCCUCCACCGCCAUCCUGGUCCCUUGGUUAUUCAAUUAAUGGUAUGGAAAAAGCAUCUGGUGACCUUUGAUGACAGCAGUUAGUGGGAUGCUGUAACAGAAGGGAGGAGUCUUGAGGCCAGAGGGGUUUCCAGACACGUGAGGUGUGCUGCCAGACCUCAGUGUAUACAGUUUUUCAGUUGCAGUGAGUGAUUCUGUAGCUGUAAACCUUGAGGAGGCCUUUUUACAGGCAUUAUUGUUAAUUGCCUGCACACAGCAAGUGUGUCAGCACUGCACUCACAGCUGUACGCUUUGACAGUUUGGACACAUCAGCCAACUGCUGUUUGCAGAGAGCUGUUGACAGUUGCUGUGUGUUUGCACCCUGGAUUUUCAGUCCAGGUCCCCAGCAGCCAGAGCUCUCACGUUCCAGCUGCAGCAAGCACGGACUCCAGGCACCUAGGCAAGCAGUCUAGCUAUCGCAGAACUUUCUGGGGAUCGGGUUGUCCUAGGAGCUCCUGCUGGCAGAGGAAAGAGCCUGAAGUUAGUGUACUCCUAACAAAGGAGGUAAUAAGUGCCUAGUAUUGAGUGUGAUGAGUCUGGGCCGUGUAGAAGGAUUUGUGUCUUGAUAUUGUGGAGGAAUGGAGAGAGCUCAAAGCAACAAAUUGCCAGCCAGAGCCAGACCCUUAACUACAAAAGAGUAGGAUUAUUGAGAGCUCUGAUUGCAGAAGCAUUUGUGAAGAUGUUUUAAGAGCUCCAUGCAAUGCCCCCUCAGCACAGACUGUUUUGAGGAAAUUUUUCUAUAGGCACUUCUCUUUCUUCAGCAGUUGCACAGCUGUCCCUGGCUCCUACAGGGCAGGGCAGGGGCAGGCUGAUCUUGCUUUGCAGGAGAAGCCAGUCCUUCUCUGCAGAUGCAUCCAGCAACAGGACUGGUUCAGAUCUAACAUCUGGGUGCUCUGCUGGUGACUGUGGGCUGAAGAUGCUUCUAGGUGUGUCCAGGGCUGCAGGCUCCUGGCUCAUUAACAACACCCACACUCGUCUGAGUGGAGAAGGGCAGUGAGUGCUCAGAAAUGGCACGUUCUGGGCAGCACAGGCUCCUCUAGGAGCAAAGAAGCUACCUGCAGAUGCAACUGCUGCAUGCUGAUGGGUCAGGAACCUGGCUGGUGCUGUGCCCCUACAUGCUGGCACCUACAUGUUGGGAUAUUUAUUUGCCUGAUGGAAUGUAGUCUGUUCCAUCCAGCUGAUCCAUCCAGGGAGCAAGGCAGGUCUUUGUCCAGUGCUUUUGCCAAAGAGCAACAGCCCUUCAGGGACCCUACGAGCUCACAGGGGGCUGAGAGUCACUCCCGCACCUGUGGCUCUGCCGCUGGGGAUUGUGGCAUUUGCCACGGUCUCAUUCUGAAUGCGUCCUGUGAGAUUUGUGCCCCUGUGCUUGCAGACCACAAUGGCAGCUGGGCGCUGCGACUCUGCUCUCGGCCCCAGCACAGAGAUGCUGCAGCAGCAUCACCUUUAAUGCCUUUGCUCUGUGCCACAGUGAACUCCAGAAGGCAAGGUGUCCAAGCCUCCUCCAGGGAGUUAUUUACAAAAGAUGGAUGUGAUCCAUGGGGAUCAUUAAGGGGAAAUGAAAAAAGGCAGUGAUAUCUGCACCCCCAGGAGAAAAAUACAUCUCUGGUAACUAAGUGCAAGCAAGUCCAUGUAAGUCACUGCCUCCCACUUGCCUUGGUAAUACACUACCUGUAUUACCUUUCCCCCAAAUCCUCCAAGAAGCUGCUCCAUCACCACCAGCAAGCUGGCUGCUUUAACCACAUCUGCCAUAGCUAAUACCACUUCUCCCCACAUCCUUUCAUUUAUGAAGACCUAGAGUGUCCUUUAGGGUAGGUAUAUCAGAUUUUUGCAGCUCAGAAUAAUCUCAGUUUUGUAUCUGUGCUCUUUGUGUUCAGUGCAAAGACAGCAGCUGUGACUUGCCAGGGGUUUCUCACUGUGCCAUGGUGCUCCAGUUUGUGCUUUCUCCUUGCUGCAGCUCUGCUGCCUGCCAGCCUGUCCCAGGAGUAUUCCAGCAUCCUGGAGGCGACCUGGGCUUGUUGCAGCAGCAGACACCCCUCCUGGCUCACUGACAGGGACAGGAGCUGAGUUUCCAGGCAGCUGCCACAGCUACGUGCUGCCACAGCCAGAGAAGUUACAGAAAGAAACAACAACAUUAAAUUUCCCUUGGCCUUAGAAGCUUGCUCCUGGGCAGUCACUUGGUGGGGCUGAAACCCCCCCUGUUCUUACCGAGAAGGGGCAUUCCUGCUGCCUACCCUGCCCGCACCCUGCUCAGGGCCCAGGGCUAGCGAUGGGCUGCUCCCGAGGGGGGUCACAGAGGGCUGUGAUCUGGGAGGAUCUGCCUUGCACCAGAGAGCUGAGGGAAAAGCUGCGCUCACUGCAAGCACCUGGUCUGCGACACAAGUGUUGCCCACAGGGUACCAGGCCAGGACUGAGUCCCCAGCCUUGUCAGCAGGCAACCCUGGGAUCCUCAUGGCAUCUGGAAGACCAAACCCUGGAUGUGCUGUGCUUCUGUGCAAGGGACCUGCAGUCCAACCCCCCCCCCCCCACACACACACACACACAACUGUGAUGUUCCAGGUAAUCCUCCUGCCUGAUGCCAAGGCACUGUGAGGAAGAGAGUUGGAGAUCAGUGGAUGAACAGAGCAGAUACACAGAUGGCCCAGCAGACUGCAUUCCAACAGUCCUCAUAUGUGUCUUCCUGCAGGUAAUUAGUUCCUUGGUUUUGAAUGGCUUUUCUGAGGACGUGAGCUGGAAAGUGAAUGGUGCUGCUGAGCUCCAGAAGGCAAGCACGCUGCACUGGCCUGUGGGGACCCGCUGGGCUGAUCUCGCCCCUGCAGCUUUAAAGAUGUGUCCCAAGCCACGCGCACCCCGGCCCAGCGCAAGAGGAGCACUCAGGGAAAGACAUUGGGCUUUGCAAAGCUGGAUCCAGGAUUCAAUGCAAUCAGGAUGUGCAGCCAUUGUACCAAUACAGCAAAACAGAAAGAGGGGUCACUGUACAGUAACUGGACAGCCUUGGCUGCAGGACAGACCUCAGCCCAGCCUACCAUCGCAGCUGCUGGGUGCUGGGCAGCACCUGGCUCUUCACGUUGUGGCUCUGGGCGGUGAGGAAGGGUAAAGCAGCAGUGUGAGCUGAGCGCCCCAGCGUUUGCCUCUUCUGAGAUGUGUGCAGCUUGGCAUGCCACCACCUGCCUCUUCUGCUGGUGCGUUUGCCAGUUGUUUCUGGUUAGGAUGCCAAGCACUUGUUCUUAGGCAUCCCUCAUCUCUUGCUGGGGACAGAAAGUGUUUGUGGCGCUGGGAUAAUAACUGCCUUGUCUAGCCACACUGCACUUCUAUGGACAUACAUUUUUCAUCUGCCUACAUCUCUGCUAUAGAAGGGCUGCUCAGGUGAGCAUGGAUUAGUCCAGCUGUUCACUGUGGGGAGCAGGCACCAGCCAUUUCUAAUCAGGAUGCAUUCCCUCAGUGAGUGUUUUAACCAUGGUAAUUGGAGAGGUUUUAAUCCCUCUUCUGCUGCGGGAAGCACGCACUGCUAACAGAAGCGAUCCACCCUGACUUGUCCCCAGCUGAGUCAGCCCACAGCAGCUUCCUCUGUGGUCAGAAGCCGCUCACCUUUAGCCAGGAGCCAGGCAGCUGCUGAAAUCCCUUCACAUUGCACGCAAAUUAGGCAUUGAAAAUACUCAUUACAGCCAACAUGACACACCUUCAUUAUUCCAAAAUAAUUGUCUGAAAGGCUCGGCUUGCUACACAGGCUUCACUUGGUGCAGAAAUGUGAUAAAAAGAAAACAGGAAGUGCAAUCAAUGCUUGUAAUCCUUUUAAAUAAAAAGGUACUUGCUAGUAGCUGCCAACAUCUUUAAAAAGCUGUGAUUUCCCUGGAGAGAGCCCUUAUCAGCUAUGACUGCAUGUCAUUCUGGCUGUCUGUCAAUCCAUCAGAAUCCAGUGCCACUGACAUUAAGAAGCCAGGCGUUAAGAUUAUCACAUUUAGCCGUAAUGUAGCACAGAUUGUGUUGACAUUUGGAAAAUAUUCCACCACAGGAGCCAUUUGACUUCUAUGCUUUCUUCACAAAGAAAAAAAUGCUUUGAAACAUUUCAGGGCGGGAGCCUGCCCUGCCCGGGGGCACUGGGUGGCUGUGCCCCGCCGCUGCAGUGAGCGGGAGGGAGACGAGGGCAUGCAGGUGCCGUGACCGCAUGCGGCAUCAGUGCAGGGGCAGCCCCGGCUCCAUGUCGGAUGCCGUGUGGAUGAAGCCUCACACUGGUGCUCACAACAUUGCCCACAGCUCUGCUGGCAUCCUGCGCACCCAGGCAGUGCCUGCUGCAGGCAUGCUUCCUGGGAGCACUGCUCUCUAGGCCAGCCCCAGCUCCUGCACCACACUCGUGUUUUCGCUCCUUGAGGAAGUGUCCCCUGAGCACACACGGGGCUGCCGCGGUGCAGCUCAGGCUUUGCUGGCAGGGACAGGCAAGCAGCACCGUGGGAACGUGCCGCAGGGACACGGGCUCCUUCCGUCUGCCUGGGAAGGCCUCAGAUCUUCCUGCGUUGGAGGAGAUUCCAGGCCAUGCACUGGGGAGAUGCUGAGCCAUAGAAACAAUGGUAAACGACCUGAAAUGAACUGAUUAAUCUCUUUAAAUAACUGUGAAACCAUUUUCCAGAAAAAGUUAAUCUACUCUAAAUGGCUCUGGUGCUUUUUCUGGUGCUCCAAUCAAUAUGUGGUCGCUUGCUUUUCAUGUGUAAUUCACAGUAAUUGCAAAAGAGCUUUUUUUCUGAAGAAAAUGACAUUCUGCAAGCAGAAGUGCAAAGAGAGACUAGGACCAAUUAGCUUUAAAUCCCAGAACAAAACUUGCUGUCGGAUGCACGGCAGAGCUGAAGAUGCCGCAGCAUCAGAGCUUGGUAUCCUGGGUUCCUCUCUGGGAAGGCACCAGCAGUGCCGAAGCGUGCCAUGGCUGGCGGCGUGCUCGGCAGCCUCUGGUGCUGCCAGGCAGGCACUGGGAGCCUGCCCUGCGGAGCCUCAGCCACGGAGGGAAGGUGGGUGCAGGACUACAAGGCUGGGCCCAUCCUCUCCAGCCUUUGCAGGUGAACAUUGCUGGGUAACACUCAGAAGUUAGCACAGCGCUAGCUUCUAAUGGUAACACUCAGCAUGGCACAACUCAGAAACCAUCGCUGGGGCUGCCUUGGUGCAGGACAGCCCUGCCUGCGGAGCUGGCACGGCCCAGCCUCAGGUCAGUGUGGUGCCGUCCCGCGCCCUCGAUCUCCCGCUUGACUUCCUGGUUCCCUGGUUCUUCCCAUCUUCUCCCAGCCCACUGGCAUGUGCCCACACAGACAGCUCUGCCCUGCCCCAGCCUGGGGCUGACGAGGGCCAACAUGGGGCAGAUGGAGAGGCGGACAGAGGGAAGGGAGGAUGGGAUGGUGUCCCCAGCAGGGCUGGGCUGCCAGGGGAGGUCCUGCAGUCCUGCCCUGCAGCUGCCUGAAGGGAGGAUGGGCACCCCCUUCCAAGGAGCCCAUUGCUUUCUGUCAUCUGCUGUAAAACCAGAACAUAAUUUUCCAGGAUGUCAUUCUAAUUCUAGUGGGAAAGCUUAUUACUUGUGAUUUACCCAUAAAAAAGCCCAGUGACUUACGACUGUGUGUCUGUGGGCUUGCCCAUCAAUCCAUCAUGGGUGCUGCAGGUGGUUCUCUGUAGGGCAAGGGGAGCAGAUAUGAGGACCGAGGUGAGUCUGCUGCUGUGAUUGACAUGCUGCUUUUACCAUCUGUAAAGUCUCUGACAUAUUCCUUUUGGCUCAGCGCAGAUCCGCACUGCUGAGCUCCAGCACAAAUGUCAUUAAAACAUGUUCUACCCAUGGUACCUAUAAAUAAUUGAGGCAGCAGGUCUGCACUAAGCUCUGUGCUGCAGCGCUCUGUUCCUACACUGAAGGGGGGCAGGAAGAUGACCUUUCCUUCUCCCAUUUUCCACUUUUGAAAUUAGGGGGUGUCUGGUGCUUUGUCCCUGCACUCAGCACACCCAUUUCACUGCUGGACCAUUUCACUGCUUGGGGUCUGUUGUGCAGAGGAGUGGGCGCAGACUGGUUGGUGGGAGCAUCCCAUUUCUGUGCCAGACCCCCAGGCAGUACAGUCCUGCCACCCCUUCUCUUCACAGGAUGGAUGACCCACAGCCUUUCGGCAUGUCCUGGCACAGGGCAAAGGGUAGACGCUGUCCCUGAUCCAGCCUCCUGCAGGUCAGCAGGGACUGGCCAUAGGCAGGCAGAUGAGCCUGCAGGCACGGCAGCAGCAUGGGGCACCAGCGAGCUGGAGCUAGUCCCUGGCGAGAGGGCCUAGCUCACACCCUCAGCAUCAGGCGCCCUCGCCGCCCCUGCAUGGUUGGCAGCUCACCCUGUGCCCACGAGCAAGUUGCUUCUUUUCUGCCUUCUCAUGACAGUUGCCAGCUGCCCUGUGUCAGGGGAGUCGUUACCAAGCCUCAUGUUGGGAACAUGGGGUAUAAAUACCAAGCUCUAGCAACACCAUUUCAUGGUGCUGACAGCAGUAAUCUGGCAGUGACACCGGAUGCUGUCCUCCCGCUGCACCGCCAGCCUGCACCAGGCUUCACCACUGCCAUCCCAGGGCUCCCUGGGCACAGGUCAGUGUGCCUGUGGGGUGCCGGUGUCACUGCUGGAGAGGCCACACGCAGGAGAAUGCAGGGGGCACACCCUGGCUGCACACGUGGUUUGGGAAUGUAGGAGCACCCUCCUUCCACAGCAGCAGAGCCUUGCCCCCAGGCCCUGGACCAGGCAGAGGGGCUGAGCGGGGUCCCUGUCCUGCCCCCUUGCCCCCACACACGCCCAUGCAGUGGUGGGCACGUGCAGGGGUGGGCAUUGACUGUGAGUGGAGGUGUGCAGCCAUGCAGAAGCAUGCGUGUGCUGAGGCACAGAUGUUGUGCUGCGCAGCGUGCAUAUGCCCUGAUAGAUCAAGAAGGUAUAUUAAAUAGCAGCUGUCGGGAUCUUUCUGAACACAGCGGUAACACAGCUGGGACUGUUGUGAUGUCUUCUUAAUUUAAACUCCUGUUGUCUUUCAGCCACGUGCUAACGAGGGCUAAUGGGGAGAUCAGCCUGCUGUUUGCCAGCAUGGCUGUAUGCUUUGCCACAGCCCUGUUGCUCCUGCGAAUCUGGCUCUGCUCACCAGCCGGUGCCUUUCCCUGCCUUGCUGCUCAGGACACGUUCCUGUGGGGAGGGUGCUCAAGGUUUGUUCCCUAGGGAGCAAGCUCCAGCUCAGUGCAACAAAAACUGCUCCAUCUCACCAUCUUUUCUGACUGCAGAGCAGCAAGACUCUCUCAGGGAGCUAAGCCUCCUUGUGCUGCUCAGAGGCAGCCCCUGCUGUCUUCAGGGCUCCCUCGUAUUCCAGCAUUGCCAGCCCCAGUGAGACCCUGGUGUGCUUGGGGUGCAGUGGGCGUUGGUGACUGGAGGAGCGAUAUCCCUGUCUGGUUUGGCCACAGCUCAGUGGCUUUCUGUGACCUGCCUGCCCUGGCUUGUGCAGCUGUGGUGCUGGCGCUUGGGGAUGGGGCAGCUCUGCACAGGAAAUCUGCUCCGCAGGGCUGCUGCAGGCUCUUGGGAAGGAUGGGGCUCCAGGAGCAGCCCCGGGGGCCCAUCGCCUCACUCCCUGCCUGUCCCACGCUCCAGCACUGCAGGCUCUGCCCUUUCCAUGGUCGCAGGUGCCGGGUGCACAGCAUGACCUUGUCCUGGGGGCUGCGGCAGGCGCUGGUCAGUGGGAGCACCAGCAGCAUCUCUGGAGCUUCUUCUCCCAGCCCUGUGCAAGCACUAAUACACAUAUUUAUCAGGAUUAAUGAAGCAUACAGCAACUGUAUAGGAGAGGCAAAGCAAGCAGCAGAAAGACAAAGCCGGUGGAUGAGAGCAGGUGUGGAUGAAGAGAAGUCAGGGCACUGUGCAGACCUGGGGAGCUGUAUGGGUGCGUGCUGGUCGGGGCUGUGUGCACGUGGCAUGCACUCCCAGCGCACACACUCCCAGAUAACUGCAUGGACACUUGGAAAUGCUCAUGUCUGCUCACCAUUGCGUCUCUGUGCACACAAGCAUAAAGAACAAGAGGGACAGCCUUACUACAUAGCAGCCAUAAAUGUUAGAAAAAGUCCUCGAAUACUAACACAUCACACCAUAUUUGCAUAGUUGCUUAAUAAAAAAUUAUGACUGUUCAAAGCCC